rnacentral:rRNA from 1 species
CAGUCGCCGCGGUAACACGUAGGUGGCAAGCGUUGUCCGGAUUCAUUGGGCGUAAAGCGAGCGCAGGCGGUUCCUUAAGUCUGAUGUGAAAGCCCACGGCUCAACCGUGGAAGGUCAUUGGAAACUGGGGAACUUGAGUGCAGAAGAGGAGAGUGGAAUUCCAUGUGUAGCGGUGAAAUGCGUAGAUAUAUGGAGGAACACCAGUGGCGAAGGCGACUCUCUGGUCUGUAACUGACGCUGAGGCUCGAAAGCGUGGGGAGCAAACAGGAUUAGAUACCCGAGUAGUCCCUGUCUCUUAUAC